ACGUCAGUAGUGUAGCGGAUAGAACGCGCUCCCGGAAAGAGUGAGGUGCUGGUUCUAAACCCGCCUGACGCA